AGGACAUAGUUCAGUCCAAAAUACUGUUGAUGCUGAGUUUUGUGGUGAAUGAGACUCUUUGGAGUAAUUAGUAUUCCAACAGGUUUUCAGUGGAAUCCCUUUCGAAGAGAAUCAGAGAAGAUCUACGAAUACUGUCCAUUUGUUCCAAAAAUCUCAACCACGUCACAAAAUUGCAGCUUUUCCACCAUUCCUGUAUAAACAUGUAAAGACUCUGAUGCAAAUAGGGAGAUAAUUUUAUUCUAACUUUAGAAGAUAAUGGAGUUUUACAUCCUGGUUUCAUCAGGUCCAAGUGUGUUUUAGUUUUACAGGUAUAUUAGCAAAGACAGCAAUCAGAUUAAGGACAGCCAAUUAAUAUUAAUGCCAGGUAAUAAUCAGGUUUCAUUUUAUAUUUCAAUCAAUUUCUAUUUCAUAUUAUAUAAAAUUUCCUUGAAACAAUUCCUUGUGUUGCUUUAGAGUGUCUGUCUUGAAUCUUGGGUAUCACUGUUAUCCAACAGAAAUGUCUUUAGGAAGGAAUUGUUCUUCUGGACACUUCAAUACGUUCUCUCUAUGUGGUGUCACUCAAAUGUCACUCAGAGAUUACAAAAGCUGACAAACAUAUGUGAACCCACAG
rnacentral:lncRNA from 1 species